rnacentral:rRNA from 1 species
UGGGUAGUCGCACGAGCGCACCUCACUUUUAGUUGCCAUCAUUAAGUUGGGCACUCUGAAAGAACUGCCAGUGAUAAGCCGGAGGAAGGUGGGGAUGACGUCAAGUCCUCAUGGCCCUUAUGGGCUGGGCUACACACGUGCUACAAUGGCGCUGACAGAGGGCAGCUAGCUCGCGAGAGUAAGCUAAUCCCAAAAAGGCGCCUCAGUUCAGAUUGCACUCUGCAACUCGAGUGCAUGAAGUUGGAAUCGCUAGUAAUCGUGGAUCAGCAUGCCACGGUGAAUACGUUCCCGGGCCUUGUACACACCGCCCGUCACACCAUGGGAAUUGGCUUUACCCGAAGGUAGUGUGCUAACCGCAAGGAGGCAGCUAACCACGGUAAGGUCAGUAACUGGGGUGAAGUCGUAACAAGGUAGCCGUAGGGGAACCUGCGGCUGGAUCACCUCCUUUCU